rnacentral:tRNA from 2 species
CUGCCCGUAGCUCAGUUGGAUAGAGCACCGGCCUUCUAAGCCGGUGGUCACUGGUUCGAGUCCAGUCGGGCAGGCCA